GGUUAAGCGACUAAGCGUACACGGUGGAUGCCCUGGCAGUCAGAGGCGAUGAAGGACGUGCUAAUCUGCGAUAAGCGUCGGUGAGGUGAUAUGAACCGUUAUAACCGGCGAUUUCCGAAUGGGGAAACCCAGUGUGAUUCGUCACACUAUCAUUAACUGAAUCCAUAGGUUAAUGAGGCGAACCGGGGGAACUGAAACAUCUAAGUACCCCGAGGAAAAGAAAUCAACCGAGAUUCCCCCAGUAGCGGCGAGCGAACGGGGAGCAGCCCAGAGCCUGAAUCAGUGUGUGUGUUAGUGGAAGCGUCUGGAAAGGCGCGCGAUACAGGGUGACAGCCCCGUACACAAAAAUGCACAUGCUGUGAGCUCGAUGAGUAGGGCGGGACACGUGGUAUCCUGUCUGAAUAUGGGGGGACCAUCCUCCAAGGCUAAAUACUCCUGACUGACCGAUAGUGAACCAGUACCGUGAGGGAAAGGCGAAAAGAACCCCGGCGAGGGGAGUGAAAAAGAACCUGAAACCGUGUACGUACAAGCAGUGGGAGCACGCUUAGGCGUGUGACUGCGUACCUUUUGUAUAAUGGGUCAGCGACUUAUAUUCUGUAGCAAGGUUAACCGAAUAGGGGAGCCGAAGGGAAACCGAGUCUUAACUGGGCGUUAAGUUGCAGGGUAUAGACCCGAAACCCGGUGAUCUAGCCAUGGGCAGGUUGAAGGUUGGGUAACACUAACUGGAGGACCGAACCGACUAAUGUUGAAAAAUUAGCGGAUGACUUGUGGCUGGGGGUGAAAGGCCAAUCAAACCGGGAGAUAGCUGGUUCUCCCCGAAAGCUAUUUAGGUAGCGCCUCGUGAAUUCAUCUCCGGGGGUAGAGCACUGUUUCGGCAAGGGGGUCAUCCCGACUUACCAACCCGAUGCAAACUGCGAAUACCGGAGAAUGUUAUCACGGGAGACACACGGCGGGUGCUAACGUCCGUCGUGAAGAGGGAAACAACCCAGACCGCCAGCUAAGGUCCCAAAGUCAUGGUUAAGUGGGAAACGAUGUGGGAAGGCCCAGACAGCCAGGAUGUUGGCUUAGAAGCAGCCAUCAUUUAAAGAAAGCGUAAUAGCUCACUGGUCGAGUCGGCCUGCGCGGAAGAUGUAACGGGGCUAAACCAUGCACCGAAGCUGCGGCAGCGACGCUGAUGCGUUGUUGGGUAGGGGAGCGUUCUGUAAGCCUGUGAAGGUGUGCUGUGAGGCAUGCUGGAGGUAUCAGAAGUGCGAAUGCUGACAUAAGUAACGAUAAAGCGGGUGAAAAGCCCGCUCGCCGGAAGACCAAGGGUUCCUGUCCAACGUUAAUCGGGGCAGGGUGAGUCGACCCCUAAGGCGAGGCCGAAAGGCGUAGUCGAUGGGAAACAGGUUAAUAUUCCUGUACUUGGUGUUACUGCGAAGGGGGGACGGAGAAGGCUAUGUUGGCCGGGCGACGGUUGUCCCGGUUUAAGCGUGUAGGCUGGUUUUCCAGGCAAAUCCGGAAAAUCAAGGCUGAGGCGUGAUGACGAAGCACUACGGUGCUGAAGCAACAAAUGCCCUGCUUCCAGGAAAAGCCUCUAAGCAUCAGGUAACAUCAAAUCGUACCCCAAACCGACACAGGUGGUCAGGUAGAGAAUACCAAGGCGCUUGAGAGAACUCGGGUGAAGGAACUAGGCAAAAUGGUGCCGUAACUUCGGGAGAAGGCACGCUGAUAUGUAGGUGAAGUCCCUUGCGGAUGGAGCUGAAAUCAGUCGAAGAUACCAGCUGGCUGCAACUGUUUAUUAAAAACACAGCACUGUGCAAACACGAAAGUGGACGUAUACGGUGUGACGCCUGCCCGGUGCCGGAAGGUUAAUUGAUGGGGUUAGCGGUAACGCGAAGCUCUUGAUCGAAGCCCCGGUAAACGGCGGCCGUAACUAUAACGGUCCUAAGGUAGCGAAAUUCCUUGUCGGGUAAGUUCCGACCUGCACGAAUGGCGUAAUGAUGGCCAGGCUGUCUCCACCCGAGACUCAGUGAAAUUGAACUCGCUGUGAAGAUGCAGUGUACCCGCGGCAAGACGGAAAGACCCCGUGAACCUUUACUAUAGCUUGACACUGAACAUUGAGCCUUGAUGUGUAGGAUAGGUGGGAGGCUUUGAAGUGUGGACGCCAGUCUGCAUGGAGCCGACCUUGAAAUACCACCCUUUAAUGUUUGAUGUUCUAACGUUGACCCGUAAUCCGGGUUGCGGACAGUGUCUGGUGGGUAGUUUGACUGGGGCGGUCUCCUCCUAAAGAGUAACGGAGGAGCACGAAGGUUGGCUAAUCCUGGUCGGACAUCAGGAGGUUAGUGCAAUGGCAUAAGCCAGCUUGACUGCGAGCGUGACGGCGCGAGCAGGUGCGAAAGCAGGUCAUAGUGAUCCGGUGGUUCUGAAUGGAAGGGCCAUCGCUCAACGGAUAAAAGGUACUCCGGGGAUAACAGGCUGAUACCGCCCAAGAGUUCAUAUCGACGGCGGUGUUUGGCACCUCGAUGUCGGCUCAUCACAUCCUGGGGCUGAAGUAGGUCCCAAGGGUAUGGCUGUUCGCCAUUUAAAGUGGUACGCGAGCUGGGUUUAGAACGUCGUGAGACAGUUCGGUCCCUAUCUGCCGUGGGCGCUGGAGAACUGAGGGGGGCUGCUCCUAGUACGAGAGGACCGGAGUGGACGCAUCACUGGUGUUCGGGUUGUCAUGCCAAUGGCACUGCCCGGUAGCUAAAUGCGGAAGAGAUAAGUGCUGAAAGCAUCUAAGCACGAAACUUGCCCCGAGAUGAGUUCUCCCUGACUCCUUGAGAGUCCUGAAGGAACGUUGAAGACGACGACGUUGAUAGGCCGGGUGUGUAAGCGCAGCGAUGCGUUGAGCUAACCGGUACUAAUGAACCGUGAGGCUUAACCUU
rnacentral:rRNA from 1 species